UAGCCGUACCAUGCUGAAUAUACCGGUUCUCGUUAGAUCACCGAAGUUAAGCAUCAUUGGGCGCGGUCAGUACUUGGGUGGGUGACCACCUGGGAACACUGCGUGCCGUU
rnacentral:rRNA from 1 species